rnacentral:ncRNA from 1 species
GUGUUGUAGGAAAGGAGAAAAGCUGAGCACUCCCCUUGACAAGGAUGGAAGAAGCCCUUGGGCCUGAUAACAUGAUAAAGGCACUGCCACAUAUUUCAUGGCAUGAAAAAUUAUUG